CUGGCAUGAACCACCACGCCUGUCAAGGACAAAUUUUUAUUUUUAUUUCUCAGUAGGAAACAUGAAAGGUUGUUCAUUGAACCCUUUCCUUGUCCUGUUAUUGUAGUAAUGGAGAAACUUUUCCUUUACCCUCUUAAAUUCAGUAUCUGAGACCUGUGAAUUAAACUGACAAAAGACAAAUUAGCAAGAAAAAGGCAAGAUUUUAUUGGCUGGUUCGAAUGCAGUGGUGUUUACAACAAUGGAUAACAACCAGUUACAGAUAUUUUUGUUCCUUCUCCACUCCCACUGCUUCGCUUGACUAGCCUUUUAAAGAAAACAAAACAAAGAGUUUAUUUACAUGCAUACACAUGGGAGUGCUCAGUGGUAACUCAAAAGAAUAGUUAGAAUUUGGGGCUUAUACACCUAACUUAAUAGGGGAAAGGUAACAAGGAGAAAAGACUCGUAUAGGAAGAAAAAAUAAGUCUUCCUGGGCGCAGUGGCUCACGCCUGUAAUCCUAACACUCUUGGAGGCUGAGGUGGGAGGAUCACUUGAGCCCAGGAGUUAGAGACCAGCCUGGGCAACAUGGUGAGACCCCAUCUCUACAAAAAAUUUAAAAAUGAGCUGGGUAUGGACCGGGCGUGGUGACUUAUGCCUGUAAUCCCAGCAGUUUGGGAGGCUGAGGUGGGUGGAUCACCUGAGGUCAGGAGUUCGAGAUCAGCCUGGCCAACCUGGUGAAUACCUGUCUCUACUAAAAAUACAAAAAUUAACCAGGUGUGGUGGCACACACCUGUAGUCCCAGCUACUCAGGAGGCUGAGGCAGGAGAAUCACUUGAACCUGGGAGGCAGAGGAUGCAGUGAGCAGAGACUGCGCCAUUGCACUCCAGCCUGGGUGACAGAGUGAGACUCCGUCUCAAAACAAACAAACAAACAAACAAAAAAUUAGCUGGGCUUCAUGGCAGGCACCUGUAAUCCCAGCUACUCGGGAGGCUGAGGCAGGAGAAUCGCUUGAACCUGGGAGGUGGAGUUUGCAGUGAGGUGAGAUCGUGCCAUUGCACUCCAGCCUGGGCGACAGAGCGAGACUCUAUCUCAAAAAAAAAAACAGCUGGGUAUGGUGGUGUGUGCCUGUAGCCCCAGCUACUCAGGAAGCUGAGGUGGAGGAUCACUUGAUCCUGGGAGGUUGAGGCUGCAGUGAGCUAUGAUUGCACUAUUGCCCUCCAGCCUGAGCAAUAGAACAAGACCUUGUCUCUAAAAAUAGAUAGAUAAAUUUAAGUGGUAUUCCUUGAAAAAAAGCAGCUAGUUCAGCUCACAAUUCAGUAGCUCAACUGCUUUGUACUGCAUUUCCCAUUUCACCACACAGAGUACUUAAAAGAUGUGUACACAGGGAUCACGAUUUAUUAAAACAGGCCAGGUGCAGUGGCUUAUACCUGUAAUCCCAGCACUUUGGGAGGCCGAGGCGGGCAGAUCACCUGAGGUUAGGAGUUCAAGACCAGCCUGGCCAACAUAGUGAAACCGUGUCUCUACAGAAAAUACAAAAAUUAGCCAAGUGUGGUGGUGGGCGCCUGUAAUCCCAGCUACUUGGGAGACUGAGGCAGGAGAAUUGCGUGAACCUGGGAGGCAGAGGUUACCGUGAGCUGAGAUGGCGCCACUGCACUCCAGCCUGGGCAACAAAGCAAGACUCUGUCUCAAAAAUAAACAAACAAAUAAACAAAAUUAAAGAUUUAUUAAAACAUACUUUUUACUGCUUCAUGAAGGGCAAUUUUUUUUUUUUUUUGGAGACAGGGUCUCACUCUGUCACCCAGUCUGGAGUGAGGUGGCACGAUCAUGGCUCUUUCAUGUGCGUCCGUGUGAAGAGACCACCAAACAGGCUUUGUGUGAGCAACAUGGCUGUUUAUUUCACCUGGGUGCAGGCAGGCUGAGUCCGAAAAGACAGUCAGCGAAGGGAGAUAGGGGUGGGGCCAUUUUAUAGGAUUUGGGAAGGUAAUGGAAAAUUACAGUCAAAGGGGGUUGUUCUCUGGUGGGCAGGGGUGGAUCUCACAAAGUACAUUCUCAAGGGUGGGGAGAAUUACAAAGAACCUUCUUAAGGGUGGGGGAGACUACAAAGUACCUUAAGGGUGGGGGAUAUUACAAAGUACAUUGAUCAGUUAGGGUGGGGCAGGAACAAAUCACAAUGGUGGAAUGUCAUCAGUUAAGGCUGUUUUUACUUCUUUUAUGGAUCUUCAGUUACUUCAGGCCAUCUGGAUGUAUACGUGCAAGUCACAGGGGAUGCGAUGGCCUGGCCUGGGCUCAGAGGCCUGACAUUCCUGCCUUCUUAUAUUAAUAAGACAAAUAAAACAAAAUAGUGUUGAAGUGUUGGAGCGGCGAAAAUUUUUGGGGGGUGGUAUGGAGAGAGAAUGGGCGAUGUUUCUCAGGGCUGCUUCAAGUGGGAUUGGGGCGGCGUGGGAACAUAAAGUGGGAGAGAUUAAGCUGAAGGGAAGUCUUGUGGUAAGGGAUGAUAUUGUGGGGAUGUUAGAAGAAACAUUUGUCAUAUAGAAUGAUUGGUGAUGGCCUGGAUACAGUUUUGGAUGAACUGAGAAGCUAAAUGGAAGAUACAAGGUCUGAAUAAAAGGAGGAGAAAAAUGGGUAUUAAAGGACUAAGAAUUGGGAGGACCCAGGACAUCCAAUUAGAGAGUGCCCAAGGGGGUUCAGCGUAAUUACUUGCUUGGUUGGCAAGUUUUUGGGCUCUAUCCUUGAGUUUUUUUAUGUUGUCAUACACCAGGCCAGACUGAUUUAGGUAAAAACAACACUCCUCAUUUAAGAAUAUGCAGAGUCCUCCUUUUUCAGCAGUAAGUAAGUCAAGGCCUCGGCGGUUUUGGAGGACAACUGCAGCUAAAGAGUCAACUUGGGCCUGGAGGACUGAUAAAGUUUGUGAUUUUGAGGGCCUCUAAAAGUAUUAAAGCAGCAGCAGCUGCUGCACGCAGACAUGAGGGCUAGGCUAAAACAGUAAGGUCAAGUUGUUUGGACAGAAAGGCUACAGGGUGUGGUCCUGGCUCUUGUGUAAGAAUUCCGACCACGCUAACCAUGCCUAGGAAGGAAAAGAGUUGUUGUUUUGUAGAAGGUGCUGGGGUUUGAGAGAUCAGUCGGACACGAUUGGCAGGGAAAGCACGUGUGCUUUUACGAGAAUUACGCCGAGAUAGGUAACAGAUGAGGAAGAAAUCUGGGCUUGACUGAAGUAAUGGGGGCUGUCUGUGAAGCUUUGCAGCAGUACAGCCCAGGUAAUUUGCUGAGCCUAAUGGGGUGUCAGGGUCAGUCUAAGUGAAAGCAAAGAGAGGCUGGGACGAGGGGUGCAGGGGAAUAGUGAAAAAAGCAUCUUUAAGAUGGAGAACAGAAUAGUGAGUUGUGGAGGAACGUAUUGAGGACAAAAGAGUGUACGGGUUGGGCACCACAGGGUGGAUAGGCAAAACAAUUUGGUUGAUAAGACGCAGAUCCUGAACUAAUCUGUAAGACUUAUCCGGUUUUUGGACAGGUAAAAUGGGGGAAUUGUAAGAGUUUAUAGGUUUUAGAAGCCCAUGCUGUAGCAGGCGAGUGAUAACAGGCUUUAAUCCUUUUAAAGCAUGCUGUGGGAUGGGAUAUUGGCGUUGAGCGGGGUAAGGGUGAUGGAAGGAGUAGAGAUGUCCCAUACUUGUGGGUUAAGGUGGGGGGAUAUAAGAGGAAGACGCGAAGGAGGCUUUGAGUUGGGGAGAAGGUCGGCAAUGAGAUGCGGCUGUAGUCCAGGAAUAGUCAGGGAAGCAGAUAAUUUGGUUAAAAUAUCUCGGCCUAAUAAGGGAACUGGGCAGGUGGGAAUAACUAAAAAAGAGUGCAUAAAGGAGUGUUGUCCAAGUUGGCACCAGAGUGGGGGAGUUUUAAGAGGUUUAGAAGCCUGGCUGUCAAUACCCACAGUUAUGGAGGCAAGGGAAACAGGCCCUUGAAAAGAAGGUAAUGUGGAGCGGGUAGCCUCCGUAUUGAUUAAGAAGGGGACGGGCUUACCUUCCACUGUGAGAGUUACCGGAAGCUCGGCGUCCGUGAUGGUCUACGGGGCUUCCGAGGCGAUCGGGCAGCAUCAGUCUUCAGCCGCUAAGCCGAGAAGGAGUCAGUCAGAGAGCCUUGGGCCAGAGUUCCAGGGACUCUGGGAGUGGCUGCCAGCUUGUGUUCAUCCAGCUCUUUCGACUCCGUCCAUGAACACUCUAUCUCCUCUCAACAAUGAUUUGGGCUGUGUUUUGGAUCCAGCUGCUUAAGAAGGAAUGACUGAGGAGAAGUCAAUUGGGCCAAAAUUAUUCUAGGAGGACAAAUUGCUGAGGUUUGGGAGCACACCCUCCAGAGGACCCCUGAUCUCCCAAAAUUUGGUUGAGAUCUAAAGUUUAUUUUGCUGUACAACUCCCCCCAACACCUUUUUUUUUUUUUUUUUUUUGUUUUACUUGCUUCCAACAAGGAAUGCAAGAUUUCUUGCUGAUGUUGGAAGGCAGGCUCCUUUAUGGAGUUUGAGCUCGCUCCCAGCAGGGAAGACGAGUUCAAGUGUUUCCUGCUUCAAGGAUGGUAGAGAGCAGUCUUCAGCCUGAGACUCAUCCCUAGGUA
rnacentral:lncRNA from 1 species